rnacentral:siRNA from 1 species
UACAAAAGCUGAUGUCUACAGU